GCUGGCGGCAUGCCUAACACAUGCAAGUCGAACGGAGUGAGAGAGAAGCUUGCUUAGCUCUUACUUAGUGGCGGACGGGUGAGUAACGCGUGAGUAACCUGCCUUUCAGAGGGGGAUAACGUUCUGAAAAGAACGCUAAUACCGCAUGAUAUAUUGGGGUCGCAUGGCCUUGGUAUCGAAGGAGCAAUCCGCUGAAAGAUGGACUCGCGUCCGAUUAGCCAGUUGGCGGGGUAAAGGCCCACCAAAGCGACGAUCGGUAGCCGGGUUGAGAGACUGAACGGCCACAUUGGGACUGAGACACGGCCCAGACUCCUACGGGAGGCAGCAGUGGGGGAUAUUGCACAAUGGAGGAAACUCUGAUGCAGCAAUGCCGCGUGAGGGAAGACGGUCUUCGGAUUGUAAACCUCUGUCCUUGGUGAAGAUAAUGACGGUAGCCAAGGAGGAAGCUCCGGCUAACUACGUGCCAGCAGCCGCGGUAAUACGUAGGGAGCAAGCGUUGUCCGGAUUUACUGGGUGUAAAGGGUGCGUAGGCGGC
rnacentral:rRNA from 1 species